AGGAUUCUAUUUUGGCAGGUGGGGACUGCUGCUAAACUACCAAUUGAAAUUAAAAAUAAAAAAAUAAAACUAUGUUCUAUUACUAGUAUUAUUGUUGUUGUUGCUGCCAUAAGUGUUAUCUGCAGGAGCUAAUUUACCAAAUAAAGGUGUUUCUUUUGAGGAAAGUUGAUGAUCAAUAAACUAAUUAUGUAGUGCUGAGGCA
rnacentral:misc_RNA from 1 species